GACAGAGGGUGCAAACGUUGUUCGGAAUUACUGGGCGUAAAGCGCGUGUAGGCGGCGAUGCAAGUCGGAUGUGAAAGCCCAUGGCUCAACCAUGGAAGUGCACCCGAAACUGCGUCGCUAGAGUCUCGGAGAGGAAGGUGGAAUGCUUGGUGUAGAGGUGAAAUUCGUAGAUAUCAAGCGGAACACCGGUGGCGAAGGCGGCCUUCUGGACGGUGACUGACGCUGAGACGCGAAAGCGUGGGGAGCAAACAGG
rnacentral:rRNA from 1 species